AGAGACCAAGAUCGAUGCCGUGAUGUAUGUG
rnacentral:piRNA from 1 species